rnacentral:lncRNA from 1 species
GCUUAAACCCGAUACCGCUAAAUACGAAUUCCAUGUCGAAAGUGGACAGACACCAUAUGUUUUUCGGAUUGAAACGAUUUGAGCAUAACAGAAAAACACCCGGCCUCGACAUAUUUUAUGUCAUGCGAGGCUCGGUCCGUUUUCCUCUCCUCUUUCACGCUGGCUACGUUCUUAAAUAGAAUCCCAAUUACGACACCUAGCUGGACGAGCGAGCCAAGGCUGAGGCAUUUAAGAUGACAAACAGCACGGUUUCAUGGGUCUUUGCCACAGAACAUCAAACACGCUGAUCCCUGUAGGAGCAGGUGAUCAGAAGCGUUACGUAACGGAGCUUCAGACAGUGCGGAGGACAGACAUGAAAGCCUCGGAUCUUCUUUGCAUUAGCACGCUAAUGCGGGGACAUGGAUUUGCAUGAUCAGAGUGUUCUCCGCUAAUUUCUACUGCUAACUUUGGGAUUGUUAGCAGGGUUUUUCCUUUGCGACACACUAAUGGACCCACAAUGAGUCGAUUUGCUCAAGGAAACCACCCAAAAUGGGUUUCUGACCAGGUGGUGCUGGAGUCUGUCCCGGUCGCUGGCACUGGCAUCUCGACAUGGGGGCCGUGGACCAAAGGCUCGUCUCGCUGGGAAAGGCGUCUGCUGGCGGAGACCUCCCCGGGAGCCCGCCAUCGCCUGGAUCCUCCCGUGAGAGGAGCCGUGAGCGCUGGCGGCGCUCUGGAAAGGCUCAGGCGGCAGGACGCAGAGCAAGAAAACAGAGAACCUGAAGGGAUUUUAUUUCAUCUCUGAAGCGACGAAAGAACAAAGUUGAUCCGCUCUCUGAUUCUAUUUGUCUGGUGUGUUUGGAGCCUCGCAGACAGAAGAUCCACAUCAGCGGGACGCCGAGGCCAUAAAACUUUGAUACCAGAUGUGAUUUCAUUAAGGCCACGGUUUGAUCCAUCACCGCGUCUGCUUCUUUUAUCGUGGCCGACUCGCUUUCUUCUUAAUAAACAUGUAAUUUGCGCGGUGAUUGAUGGCUUUUCAGUGCUGCUCUAGCAGCCUCCUUUCCAAUGGAUUCAGCAGCCACUACUCUCGUCCCCGCGGUCCCCAUAAAAGUGACGGGCUGACCGCCAUUCUACCCUGCAGCCCUUCUCUCCGCCGCCUUCUGUGAUUCCCAUCACUGCCCUGGACUCCAGGAGCUCGCGUCUUCUCCCACCUCCGCUCUGAAAACCCGUUGUGCAACAUUUAAAAUAGCUUCCACGCAGGUUUGUGACUGAGAGGGGCAUAGUUUGAGUCUAGACAGCAGGCUGCAGCAGGCGCGGGCGUCUUCUCUGCUCAGUGGGCUGCAGAAUUCUGAGACAGGGAAGAGGAACCAUGCUAAAGAUACUAAACCAGCAGGAUAAAACUGCCCUCUGCUCCUUAAAGGGGCGGUUUGCCCAAAAAUCCAAAUGCUUUCUUGACUUCCUCAUCGCUGCGCUAGCGGAGUUUCUGAAUUUGACUGCGCCACAACUGCAGAUGUGAAAAAAUUAAAGGCAGGAGA